rnacentral:tRNA from 1 species
GCGGGUGUAGCUCAACGGUAGAGCAGCAGCCUUCCAAGCUGAGGACGAGGGUUCGACUCCCUUCACCCGCUCCA